UUAGCUUCUCGGCCUUUUGGCUAAGAUCAAGUGUAGUAACAGAAUAAACUUUAAAAAUUAAUAUGACUACAU
rnacentral:snRNA from 1 species